UUGAACGCUGGCGGCAUGCCUUACACAUGCAAGUCGAACGGCAGCACAGGACUCGGGCAACUGAGCCCUGGUGGCGAGUGGCGAACGGGUGAGUAAUGCAUCGGAACGUGCCCAGUAGUGGGGGAUAACUAGUCGAAAGAUUAGCUAAUACCGCAUACGACCUAUGGGUGAAAGCGGGGGAUUCGCAAGAACCUCGCGCUAUCGGAGCGGCCGAUGUCUGAUUAGCUAGUUGGCGGGGUAAAAGCCCACCAAGGCUUCGAUCAGUAGCUGGUCUGAGAGGACGACCAGCCACACUGGGACUGAGACACGGCCCAGACUCCUACGGGAGGCAGCAGUGGGGAAUCUUGCACAAUGCGCGAAAGCGUGAUGCAGCAACGCCGCGUGAGGGAAGACGGCCUUCGGGUUGUAAACCGUCUUUCAGUUGGGACGAAGCUUCGAUCGUUAAUAGCGGUUUGGAGUGACGGUACC
rnacentral:rRNA from 1 species